rnacentral:misc_RNA from 1 species
UCCGGCUUAUCACCGGCGGUUUCUUUAGAGUGCCCAACUAAAUGAUGGCAACUAAGGACAAGGGUUGCGCUCGUUGCGGGACUUAACCCAACAUCUCACGACACGAGCUGACGACAGCCAUGCAGCACCUGUCUCCAGGUUCCUUACGGCACCCCCAAAUCUCUUCGGGGUUCCUGGGAUGUCAAGGCCAGGUAAGGUUCUUCGCGUUGCAUCGAAUUAAACCACAUGCUCCACCGCUUGUGCGGGUCCCUGUCAAUUCCUUUGAGUUUUAACCUUGCGGCCGUACUCCCCAGGCGGAUAACUUAAUGCGUUAGCUGCGCCACCGAAGAGCAUGCUCCCCGACGGCUGGCAUUCAUCGUUUACGGCGUGGACUAC